GGCUUGUUUUGCAUUAAAUUAAAAGGAAAAUUGAAGGAAAGGAGGAGAAGAGGAACCGACGCUCGGCCAAGAAGAGAAAGUGUGAAGUGAAGGAUUGCUUGUGUGGUGAUUGUUCUUCAAGUGGAAUCCUAAAGGAAAAGCUUCUAAAGGUAAAGAUAAAGAGAAAGCUAAGGAAGGUGACAGAUCUAGCCACUGGUAAGUCUGGUGUUAGAUAUAUGUACAGAUGUUUUCCCAACUUGAAGGUCAUUAGGGGUUGUUCUGAGGGAGUGACGAUGAGUUCUAUUUUGUAAUUUUCCAUAGCCCUUUUGAUACAUUGUAAUGUAUGGGUAGAUAAGCCCCAUGUGUUCACUAUAAUGACAUGAUGAUGUAUACAUACAUAGUUAGAGUU